AUUUAUUGAAAACACCACGGGACGAAUGAUCAUAUCAGCUACGACGUUCUAAGUGACAACAGUGCAACAAUUUUGUGAAAGAGCUACCAUGAGGGCUACCAUUUUCAUACUCCUUGUUUUGGUUGUUGCCACCGUGUGUGUGACUGAAGCGCGUACUUUGGAGUCCAGGCAGAAAAGAUGUCUCCGAUUCAAGUCCUUGAAAAAGUGCGCCACUGAUGCGGAUUGUUGCGAUGCAAAGUGUAAGAAACCAUACAUGCGCUGCAUCGGAGGAAGAGGAAAGUAAAAAGUGCCGUCAAGUUCGAGCGCAAUGUAAGUCGUUUAAUAAAGAUGUGGCAUAACAGUAAGAUGAA